UGGUAUAACUUUAUCUUUCCCACUGAACUGAAAUAUCUGUGGGAAUUUGUGCUUCCAGUUUAUUUAAUCCUUGAGAAAAGACAAAACCAGUUGAGUGGUUUUUGUUUUUAUAGUGUUACCUGUAUUUAUAAAGAAUGAAACAUGAAGCAACAAUGAUUUUCUUUUUUGAGACAGGGUCUUACUUUAUAGUUUAGGCUGACUUGGACUUCAUUAUAUUAGACGGUAUUGGCUUCAAACUAGAGGCAAAUCUCUUGAUAGAUGUAUCCUAUGUCAAAAGGCUGAUGGCACACGGGUCUGGGAAGGAUCUAGUGGUUCAAGCAUUUCUAUGUGGUACAUUUGUGAGUUAAUCAGGCUUCCUUUGAAAUGAAGUUAUUUGCUUCUUUUGACCCCAGAAACAUCAAAGCCAAAAUUCACGGGAGGAGGCUUAUUGUUAUGCACAAUGCAAAGUUUCUUCCAUUUAAAUUCAUUGAAAAGUAAAAUUUUCAUGACUAUUGUUUUUAAGUUAUAAUCUUAAUGUAAAUAUUUCUAAGUAUGUUAGAUAAU
ensembl:antisense Gm28991 predicted gene 28991